rnacentral:rRNA from 1 species
GAUGAACGCUGGCGGCGUGCCUAAUACAUGCAAGUCGAGCGAACGGACGAUAAGUUUGCUGCUCUGACGUUAGCGGCGGGCGGGUGUGAAACACGUGUAUACCCCACCUAUAAUACUGGUAUAAUUUCGGAAAACCGGAUCUAAUCGCGGAUAAUAUUUUGAUCCGUGUGGGUGAAUAGUGAGAGACGGUCUUUCUGUAACUUAUCGCUGCAUCCGAGCUGCAUUAGCUAGUUGGGAAGGUAAAAGCCUACCAAGGCAAGUAUGCAUAGCCGAGCUGAGAGGCUGAUCGGCCACACUGGAACUGAGACACGGACCAGACGACUACGGGAGGCAGCAGAAGGGAAUGGGACGCAAUAGGCGAAAGCCUGACGGAGCAACGCCGCGUGAGUGACGAAGGCCUUCGGUGCGUAAAGCCCUGUUAUUAGGGAAGAACAUAUGUGUAAGGAGCUGUGCAGAUAUUGACGGUACCGAAUCAGAAAGCCACGGCUAACUACGUG